rnacentral:snRNA from 1 species
GGAUGUGAGGGCAAUUUGGCUGCAACAUCUGUCAUUCCAUUUAUCACCAGGGUUGAUUCAGUUGAUCUGGCUGGCUAGGUGGGUGUCCCCUUCUUCCCUCACCGCUUCAUGUGCAUCCCUCCCAAAGCUGUGUACUCAGUUGAAGGGGACAACCUUCCCUGCUAAAGGAGGACCGAUCUUCGGUCAAGGGUAUGCGAGCAGCUGCAUUCUCCUGCUAAAACCUCCAAACAAGCUCUCAAGGACAGGCUGGAUAUCAUUUCUCAGUGCCUUUUUCUUAAAGGUUUAUUUUUUUUUUUUAAAUGCAGAGAGAGAAAGAAUGA